UCACGUGCAGCUCCGGCGACGCGCUCCGGUGCCGGGAGGACGGGUGCCACGACGCGUUCCCGUACGUGAAGUACAACGACCACUCAUGCACCGCCGCCGGCAGCCGGCUCUAGAUCGUCUUCUGCCCAUGAUGAGCUAGCUAGCGGCAGAACGUAAACAUAUAACCUACACAUAUACUACGUGUAGUAGUACAUACUCAGACGUGUCAUGUAUUCUCAGCGGUACGUACGUACACGUAUGAACGCACGUGCGAGUUUCCAAUAAAAUUGCCAUGUGUGAUGUAUUGUUCUUUUUUAUCGAAUGCCUUUGAUAUAUUGUUCUUUUUUAUCGAAUGCCUUUGAUAUAUUGUUCUUUUUUAUCGAAUGCCUUUGAUAUAUUGUUUACGGGAAUUUACACCCAAAAGAACGUGAAUUUGAACAAGAUAGCCUACAAAUAUGUAUGUUUUUCCACACACAAAAAAUAUAUGUAUGUUCUAACAUUGGGCCUCAGCUUGAAUUUUUUUUUUCGAGGGGUGGGACUCAGGUUGAUGGUCAGGGUCUCAAAUGGCAUGGCCACGAUUUUUAGAGAGGUUGAGCCAGGAUAUGUGAUUGGGGCAUGAUACCAGCUUUUUUUCCAACCGGGCUCACAACCCCUUUCCAUUAAUUUUGCAAUCAACAGAAAUACAUCAGUCUGGUUUCAAGUUCUGUAUCGAGCAUCCACUUGCUAAAGAUAACUAGACUGAAAGAUAGAACUAACCGCAAGCAAAAUGAGACUGAAAGAGGAGACCAGGUUGGUGCAUCAUCAGGAAACCCAUCGUCGGACAAUCCUGGAACGGACCAUCCGCCGUGGCGCGAAAACCUGAUGACAGUUACAAGCAACUGCCCAACCAAAAUACCCAACGUUCCCAGGAUGAAACUGCCAGUAAGCCUCUACAACUAGGCGAACCACAACCAGGAAGCACAAUUGCCAGCGGGCAUCAAACCCCAGUGGACAACAGAACGCAAAAGGAAAGAUCCAAGCGCCGAUUUCAUCUAACCAAUCUGGAUCCCAUCUCUGUCUCCCAAGAGAAGUCUGCCACGAGGGAAGGACCUGUCCGCCAGCGCAGCAACCGCGUGAGCUAACCUCUUCACUCCAGCUUGGAACUUCACCUUCUCAUCCUCCUUAAGCAGACCUCACUAGUAGAAAAAGGGUCAAACGUGAAGCACAUUAGUGCCGGUUUGUAUUUGAGCCAGUACUAAUGGUACCAUUAGUGCCGGUUCGAAUGGAUUUGCAUUAAUGCCGGUUCGUGUUGAACCUUUAGUACCGGUUCGUGGCAUGAACCGGUACUAAAGGGGUGGUGGCAGGCUGGCGUCAGGCCGGGGCCCCACGAUCACCUUUAGUACCGGUUCGUGGCACAAACCGGUACUAAAGGUCUAACCUUUAGUACCGGUUCGUGCCAUGAACCGGUACUAAAGGGGUCUGACCUAUAGUACCGGUUGGAGACACAAACCGGCACUAUAGGGCAAUUUUCAAACUUGAAAAAAUCAUAACUAAAUCAUCGUAAUUCAGAAAAAUACAUAUAAUAUAUCAAAAUAUGCAGACUUUUAAGGAAGAAAUUAGGAAGGCUAUACAGGGAAAAUGCGUGAAGGUUCUCGCAGAGUGUGUUCCUUUAAUCUCACCAACCAGUUAGCUUAGGAUGUGCGAAUCAAUCUGUGGUUGGACGGUUAGAGGGACAGUAGUAUCCACAGCCCAUCAGGGUUUAAGUCCUGGUGCUCACAUUAUUCCUGGAUUUAUUUUAGGAUUUCUGGCGUUGUGCUUUCAGCGGGAGGAGACGUUCCUGUCGACAACGAGGCGCCUACGGUGACUUUGUAAAUGUCAAGAUGAUAUACUGGCUAGGUCUCUCGUAGGUGCUCAUAGGGGUAGGAAUGUGCAUGUGUGCAUUCAUAGGGGUGAGCGUAUGUGCGUAUGUUUGAGCACUUGCGUCUAUACUAUGCUAAAAACAGAUAGCUCGGCAUGUGUGUUAUGCUAUAUGUAUAUAACCUAGUUUCCGUUGUAAAGGGCCCGUGCGUUGCAAUGUGAAAACCCGCGAAAGUUGACCUUGGUACCAUUUGGCAGGAUCUCACAGACCUGCGAGGGCCCCACUUGCCACCCUUCCUUCCCACCGACACGGAGCCUGCAAGUAUACUCUUCAUCCACGUGUUGUGUGGCUCAGACAUGGACGAAAAUACACUGUAAUCAUGCAUGCUUGUCGUCCUGAAUGAAGAUACAUAAAUUUACAGAAUAUUUUUAAUACAGGUUGAAUUUUUUUGAAGUAUACGUUGUCAAUUUUUUGAAUGCAUGACGAACAUAUUUCGAAAACACGUUUGCAGUUUUUUAAUACAUGUGAAACAUUUUUGGAAAACAUGUUUACAAUUUUAUAAUAUACAGGAGGUGCUCUUCGGUCUAGCUGAAGCCGAAGAGGUGCUCUUCGGUCUAACUUAGGCCGAAGACAGGUCUUCGGUGUACUGUAGGCUGAAGAGCUCCGAAGUCGGGCCGAAAAGAACUCUUCGGUCUAUGCUUGGCCGAAGAGUGCACUUCGGUUUAAGCCAAGCCGAAGUGUCCUCUGAGGCCCACCUCUUCGCGUGAACUGCAGACCGAAGUUGCAUGGCACCACACUUCGGUUUACACUUGGCUGAAGAGGACCUCUUCGGUUUAUACUAGGCUGAAGAGUGACCUUUUCCCGCCAAGCCUUUUCCGCCAUCCAUAAUGUAUCUUUCCCUCCAUUUGUUCACGCCAUUUUCUUUCCCUCUACUGUUUCCUUCCAUCCUCUUUCCCGCCCAAUUUUCCUGCCAACCCCUUACCCUCAUUCUAUAAAACCAGACCCCUUGCCUGUUGUUUUCUGCAUCUUUCCUUACCAAUAUUUUCAGUCAUGUCCGACGACAAUUCCGGCGGUUUUACUCCACUAAUGUCUCAUUUGCCCUUGUGCAAUGCCUCAAGAAUGCAUAGGCCUAGUAUGGGGGGUGUGUGAAGGAAAUAUACCCUAGAGGCAAUAAUAAAGAAAUUAUUUAUUUCCUUAUUUCAUGAUAAAUGUUUAUUAUUCAUGCUAGAAUUGUAUUAACCGGAAACAUAAUACAUGGGUGAAUACAUAGACAAACAAAGUGUCACUAGUAUGCCUCUACUUGACUAGCUCGUUGGUCAAAGAUGGUUAUGUUUCCUAACCAUAGACACGAGUUGUCAUUUAAUUAACGGGAUCACAUCAUUAGGAGAAUGAUGUGAUUGACUUGACCCAUUCCGUUAGCUUAGCACACGAUCGUUUAGUAUGUUGCUAUUGCUUUCUUCAUGACUUAUACAUGUUCCUAUGACUAUGAGAUUAUGCAACUCCCAUUUACUAGAGGAACACUUUGUGUGCUACCAAACGUCACAACGUAACUGGGUGAUUAUAAAGGUGCUCUACAAGUGUCUCCAAAGGUACUUGUUGGGUUGGCGUAUUUCGAGAUUAGGAUUUGUCACUUCGAUUGUCGGAGAGGUAUCUCUGGGUCCUCUUGGUAAUGCACAUCACUUAAGCCUUGCAAGCAAUGCAACUAAUGAGUUAGUUGCGGGAUGAUGUAUUACGAAACGAGUAAAGAGACUUGCGAGUAACGAGAUUGAACUAGGUAUUGAGAUACCGACGAUCGAAUCUCGGGCAAGUAACAUACCGAUGACAAAGGGAACAACGUAUGUUGUUAUGCAGUCUGACCGAUAAAGAUCUUCGUAGAAUAUGUAGGAGCCAAUAUGAGCAUCCAGGUUCCGCUAUUGGUUAUUGACUGGAGACAUGUCUCGGUCAUGUCUACAUUGUUCUCGAACCCGUAGGGUCCGCACGCUUAAGGUUUCGAUGACAGUUAUAUUAUGAGUUUAUAAGUUUUGAUGUACCGAAGGAGGUCGGAGUCCCGGAUGAGAUCGAGGACAUAACGAGGAGUCUCGAAAUGGUCGAGACAUAAAGAUCGAUAUAUUGUACGACCAUAUUCGGACAUCGGAAAGGUUCCAAGUGAUUCGGGUAUUUUUCGGACUACCGGAGAGUUACGGGAAUUCGCCGGGGAGUAUAUGGGCCUUAUUGGGCCACACGGGAAUAGAGGAGAGAGGCCAAAAGGAAGGAGGCCCCCCCCCUCUGGUCCGAAUUGGACAAGGGGUGCAACAACAACAUACAACUAUCUAGAUAAAGCAUUUAAAUGCAACAACAAAUGCGAUCAAAAUUGCAACUAAGGUAAUUAUUGAUCCAAUAGCAUAAUGAUACCAAGCCUAUUUAUUAGCGGCAUAUUUUCUAAACUUUCUAAUCUUCAAGCAAAUUGCAUCCAUCUUGAUCUUUGGAUCAUCGACGACAACAACAACAUACAAAUCCAAUUUCAUCUUCUCUUCUCAAUUCUUUUUAAUUUUUCUUUCAAAUACUCAUUUUCUUUUUCAACUAAAUUUAACUUCUCGACGAGAGGGUCGGUGGCAAUUUCUGGUUCACAUACCUCCUAGAUAAAAAUAUAUAUGUCAGCUUGAUGGGCAUAAUUGUCAUAAACACGAAAUGCAACAAAUAGUUAUAAAAGAUAUUAUACCACAUCCGAAUCAUAAAUCGGACAAGGGCCGUCGGCGAAGGAUAUCAAAACCAUGGCACUAUGUAUAACAAACAAUCAUACAAGUAAGAAAAUUAUACAAGCAACUAUCUAAAUCAUAGAAAUAAGAUUUCUUUGCACAAAAAGGAUAAGAACAAGAGCCUCACCAAGGAGGUGUCGGCGACGGGACGGCGCGGGCGAUCGAUGGCGGUGAGGACGGGAAGGCAGUAGUUAAACCACACCUACACAUAUGGAAACUAAGAAGUUAAUUUGAGCUCAAAUUACAUAUAAAUCAAAUAAACUCCCACAUAAUUACUCCCAAACCAAAACCCACAAAUGACUAUACUUAUACAACAUGAAACAAGCUAAACUAGCAAUGAGAGAGGAAAGGACAAAGUUACUAACCUUUUAAACACUUGGAUAGAUGGGGUGCCUCAAAUCUUAACAAAUCUUGGAAGUUAGAUGACACCACUACACUACACACGAUAGGAGUUAUCUUGAACGAAACACAAGGGAAGAAAGUCGGACCCGACAAAGGUCGUCCAGGUAGGUAGCCAUCUUUGAAUUGAAUGAGUGUUCUCCAAAGUAGCUAGCUCGGUGAGAUGAUCGAUAUCUUCAUCACGAACCCUAUAUAAACGCCAAGCUCCAUGAGCUCAGUCCCAGCACACACACACCCAUAGUUCCACCUAAUAUAAUGGCCGGAAGCGCGAGCGCCACUCCGGUCCUCCUCGUCGUCGUGGUCGCGGCCCUCGCCGCGGGGGCCAGCGCGACAUCGACGCUGACGCCGCUCAGCAUCACCAACCGGUGCUCCUUCACGGUGUGGCCGGCGGUGGCCUCCGCAGGCCUAGGCACCGAGCUCCAUCCGGGAGCCAACUGGACCGUGGACGCGUAGGCGAUCCACUACACUGCAGACAUAUGGGGGCGCACGGGCUGCUCCUUCGACGCGGCAGGCAGGGGGCGGUGCCAGACGGCGGACUGCGGCAGCGGGCUGCGGUGCCGGAGCACCGACCCUGCGGCGCCGGCGACCAAGGCCCAGGUCGCCAUCUCCGAGGGCUUCUACCACUACGGCAUCACGUUGGACAAGGGGUUCAACCUGCCCAUGGAUCUCACGUGCAGCUCCGGCGACGCGCUCCGGUGCCGGGAGGACGGGUGCCACGACGCGUUCCCGUACGUGAAGUACAACGACCACUCAUGCACCGCCGCCGGCAGCCGGCUCCAGAUCGUCUUCUGCCCAUGAUGAGCUAGCUAGCGGCAGAACGUAAACAUAUAACCUACACAUAUACUACGUGUAGUAGUACAUACUUAGACGUGUCAUGUAUUCUCAGCGGUACGUACGUACACGUAUGAACGCACGUGCCAGUUUCCAAGAAAAUUGCCAUGUGUGAUGUGCCUUUGAUAUAUUGUUCUUUUUUAUCGAAUGCCUUUGAUAUAUUGUUCUUUUUUAUCGAAUGCCUUUGAUAUAUUCUUUACGGGAAUUUACACACAAAAGAACGUGAAUUUAAACAAGAUAGCCUACAAAUAUGUAUGUUUUUCCACACACAAAAAAUAUAUGGAUGUUCUAACAUUGGGACUCAGCUUGAUUUUUUUUUUCGAGGGGUGGGACUCAGGUUGAUGGUCAGGGUCUCAAAUGGCAUGGCCAUGAUUUUUAGAGAGGUUGAGCCAGGAUAUGUGAUUGGGGCAUGAUACCAGCUUUUUUUUCCAACCGGGCUCACAAACCCUUUCCAUUAAUUUUGCAAUCAACGGAAAUACAUCAGUCUGAUUUCAAGUUCUGUAUCGAGCAUCCACUUGCUAAAGAUAACUAGACUGAAAGAUAGAACUAACCGCAAGCAAAAUGAGACUGAAAGAGGAGAGCAGGUUGGUGCAUCAUCAGGAAACCCAUCGCCGGACAAUCCUGGAACGGACCAUCCGCCGUGGCGCGAAAACCUGAUGACACUUACAAGCAACUGCCCAACGAAAAUACCCAAGGUUCCCAGGAUGAAACUGCCAGUAAGCCUCUACGACUAGGCGAACCACAACCAGGAAGCACAAUUGCCAGCUGGCAUCAAAACCCAGUGGACAACAGAACGCAAAAGGAAAGAUCCAAGCGCCGAUUUCAUCUAACCAAUCUGGAUCCCAUCUCUGUCUCCCAAGAGAAGUCUGCCACGAGGGAAGGACCUGUCCGCCAGCGCAGCAGCCGCGUGAGCUAACCUCUUCACUCCAGCUUGGAACUUCACCUUCUCAUCCUCCUUAAGCAGACCUCACUAGUAGAAAAAGGGUCAAACGUGAAGCACAUUAGUGCCGGUUUGUAUUUGAGCCGGUACUAAUGGUACCAUUAGUGCCGGUUCGAACGGAUUUGCAUUAAUGCCGGUUCGUGUUGAACCUUUAGUACCGGUUCGUGGCACGAACCGGUACUAAAGGGGUGGUGGCAGGCUGGCGUCAGGCCGGGGCCCCACGAUCACCUUUAGUACCGGUUCGUGGUACGAACCGGUACUAAAGGUCUAACCUUUAGUACCGGUUCAUGCCAUGAACCGGCACUAAAGGGGUCUGACCUAUAGUACCGGUUGGAGACACAAACCGGCAUUAUAGGGCAAUUUUCAAACUUGAAAAAAUCAUAACUAAAUCAUCGUAAUUCAGAAAAAUACAUAUAAUAUAUCAAAAUAUGCAGACUUUUAAGGAAGAAAUUAGGAAGGCUAUACAGGGAAAAUGCGUGAAGGUUCUCGCAGAGUGUGUUCCUUUAAUCUCACCAACCAGUUAGCUUAGGAUGUGCGAAUCAACAUGUGGUUGGACGGUUAGAGGGACAGUAGUAUCCACAGCCCAUCAGGGUUUAAGUCCUGGUGCUCACAUUAUUUCUGGAUUUAUUUUAGGAUUUCUGGCGUUGUGCUUUCAGCAGGAGGAGACGUUCCUGUCGACAACGAGGCGCCUACGGUGACUUUGUAAAUGUCAAGAUGAUAUACUGGCUAGGUCUCUCGUAGGUGCUCAUAGGGGUAGGAAUGUGCAUGUGUGCAUUCAUAGGGGUGAGCGUAUGUGCGUAUGUUUGAGCACUUGCGUCUAUACUAUGCUAAAAAACAGAUAGCUCGGAAUGUGUGUUAUGCUAUAUGUAUAUAACCUAGUUUCCGCUAUAAAGGGCCCGUGCUUUGCAAUGUGAAAACCCGCGAAAGUUGACCUCGGUACCAAUUGGCAGGAUCUCACAGACCUGCGAGGGCCCCACUUGCCACCCUUCCUUCCCACCGACACGGAGCCUCCAAGUAUACUCUUCAUCCACAUGUUGUGUGGCUCAGACAUGGAAGAAAAUACACUGUAAUCGUGCAUGCUUGUUGUCCUGAAUGAAGAUACAUAAAUUUACAGAAUAUUUUUAAUACAGGUUGAAUUUUUUUGAAGUACACAUUGUCAAUUUUUUUAAUGCAUGACGAACAUAUUUCGAAAACACGUUUGCAGUUUUUUAAUACAUGUGAAACAUUUUUGGAAAACAUGUUUACAAUUUUAUAAUAUACAGGAGGUGCUCUCCGGUCUAGCUGAAGCUGAAGAGGUGCAAUUCGGUCUAACUUAGGACGAAGACAGGUCUUCGGUGUACUGUAGACUGAAGAGCUCCGAAGUCGGGCCGAAAAGAACUCUUCGGUCUACGCUUGGCCGAAGAGUGCACUUCGGUUUAAGCCAAGCCGAAGUGUCCUCUGACGCCCACCUCUUCGCGUGAACUGAAGACCGAAGUUGCAUGGAACCACACUUCGGUUUACACUUGGCUGAAGAGGACCUCUUGGGUUUAUACUAGGCUGAAGAGUGACCUUUUCCCGCCAGGCCUUUUCCGCCAUCUGUAAUGUAUCUUUCCCUCCAUUUGUUCACGCCAUUUUCUUUCCCUCCACUGUUUCCUUCCAUCCUCUUUCCCGCCCAAUUUUCCUGCCAACCCCUUACCCUCAUUCUUUAAAACCAGACCCCUUGCAUGUUGUUUUCUGCAUCUUUCCUUAGCAAUAUUUUCAGUCAUGUCCGACGAAAAUUCCGGUGGUUUUACUCCACUAAUGUCUCAUUUGCCCUUGUGCAAUGCAUCAAGAAUUCAUAGGCAUAGUAUGGGGUGUGUGUGAAUCAAAUAUACCCUAGAGGCAAUAAUAAAGUUAUUAUUUAUUUCCUUAUUUCAUGAUAAAUGUUUAUUAUUCAUGCUAGAAUUGUAUUAACCGGAAACAUAAUACAUGUGUGAAUACAUAGACAAACAAAGUGUCACUAGUAUGCCUCUACUUGACUAGCUCGUUGGUCAAAGAUGGUUAUGUUUCCUAACCAUCGACACGAGUUGUCAUUUGAUUAACGGGAUCACAUCAUUGGGAGAAUGAUGUGAUUGACUUGACCAAUUCCGUUAGCUUAGCACACGAUCGUUUAGUAUGUUGCUAUUGCUUUCUUCAUGACGUAUACAUGUUCCUAUGACUAUGAGAUUAUGCAACUCCCAUUUACCAGAGGAACACUUUGUGUGCUACCAAAUGUCACAACGUAACUGGGUGAUUAUAAAGAUGCUCUACAAGUGUCUCCGAAGGUACUUGUUGGGUUGGCGUAUUUCGAGAUUAGGAUUUGUCACUUCGAUUGUCGGAGAGGUAUCUUUGGGUCCUCUUGGUAAUGCACAUCACUUAAGCCUUGCAAGCAAUGCAACUAAUGAGUUAGUUGCGGGAUGACGUAUUACGAAACGAGUAAAGAGACUUGCCAGUAACGAGAUUGAACUAGGUAUUGAGAUACCGGCGAUCGAAUCUCGGGCAAGUAACAUACCGAUGACAAAGGGAACAACGUAUGUUGUUAUGCAGUCUGACCGAUAAAGAUCUUCGUAGAAUAUGUAGGAGCCAAUAUGAGCAUCCAGGUUCCGCUAUUGGUUAUUGACUGGAGACGUGUCUCGGUCAUGUCUACAUUGUUCUUGAACCCGUAGGGUCGGCACGCUUAAGGUUUCGAUGACAAUUAUAUUAUGAGUUUAUAAGUUUUGAUGUACCGAAGGAGUUCGGAGUCCCGGAUGAGAUCGAGGACAUAACGAGGAGUCUCGAAAUGGUCGAGACAUAAAGACCGAUAUAUUGGACGACCAUAUUCGGACAUCGGAAAGGUUCCGAGUGAUUCGGGUUUUUUUCGGACUACCGGAGAGUUACGGGAAUUCGCCGGGGAGUAUAUGGGCCUUAUUGGGCCACACGGGAAUAGAGGAGAGAGGCCAAAAGGAAGGAGGCCCCCCCUCUGGUCCUAAUUGGACAAGGGGUGCAACAACAACAUACAACUAUCUAGAUAAAGCAUUUAAAUGCAACAACAAAUGCGACCAAAAUUGCAACUAAGGUAAUUAUUGAUCCAAUAGCAUAAUGAUACCAAGCCUAUUUAUUAGCGGCAUAUUUUCUAAACUUUCUAAUCUUCAAGCGCAUUGCAUCCAUCUUGAUCUUUGGAUCAUCGACGACAACAGCAACAUACAAAUCCAAUUUCAUCUUCUCUUCUCAAUUCUUUUUAAUUUUUCUUUCAAAUACUCAUUUUCUUUUUCAACUAAAUUUAACUUCUCGACAAGAGGGUCGGUGGCAAUUUCUGGUUCACAUACCUCCUAGAUAAAAGUAUAUAUGUGAGCUUGAUGGGCAUAAUUGUCAUAAACACGAAAUGCAACAAAUAGUUAUAAAGAUAUUAUACCACAUCCGAAUCAUAAAUCGGACAAGGGCCAUCGGCGAAGGAUAUCAAAACCAUGGCACUACGUAUAACAAACAAUCAUACAAGUAAGAAAAUUAUACAAGCAACUAUCUAAAUGAUAGAAAUAAGAUUUCUUUGCACAAAAAGGAUAAGAACAAAAGCCUCACCAAGGAGGUGUCGGCGACGGGACGGCGUGGGCGAUCGAUGGCGGUGAGGACGGGAAGGCAGUAGUUAAACCACACCUACACAUAUGGAAACUAAGAAGUUAAUUUGAGCUCAAAUUACAUAUAAAUCAAAUAAACUCCCACAUAAUUACUCCCAAACAAAAACCCACAAAUGACUAUACUUAUACAGCAUGAAACAAGCUGAACUAGCAAUGAGAGAGGAAAGGACAAAGUUACUAACCUUUUAAACACUUGUAUAGAUGGGGUGCCUCAAAUCUUAACAAAUCUUGGCAGUUAGAUGACACCACUACACUACACACGGUAGGAGUUAUCUUGAACGAAACACAAGGGAAAAAAGUCGGACCCGACAAAGGUCGUCCAGGUAGGUAGCCAUCUUUGAAUUGAAUGAGUGUUCUCCAAAGUAGCUAGCUCGGUGAGAUGAUCAACAUCUUCAUCACGAACCCUAUAUAAACGCCAAGCUCCAUGAGCUCAGUCCCAGCACACACACACCCACAGUUCCACCUAAUAUAAUGGCCGGAAGCGCGAGCGCCACUCCAGUCCUCCUCGUCGUCGUGGUCGUGGCCCUCGCCGCGGGGGCCAGCACGACAUCGACGCUGACGCUGCUCAGCAUCACCAACCGGUGCUCCUUCACGGUGUGGCCGGCGGUGGCCUCCACAGGCCUCGGCACCGAGCUCCAUCCGGGAGCCAACUGGACCGUGGACGCGUCGGCGAUCCACUACACCGCGGACAUAUGGGGGCGCACGGGCUGCUCCUUCGACGUGGCAGGCAGGGGGCGGUGCCAGACGGCGGACUGCAGCAGCGGGCUGCGGUGCCGGAGCACCGACCCUGCGGCGCCGGCGACCAAGGCCCAGGUCGCCAUCUCCGAGGGCUUCUACCACUACGGCAUCAGGUUGGACAAGGGGUUCAACCUGCCCAUGGAUCUCACGUGCAGCUCCGGCGACGCGCUCCGGUGCCGGGAGGACGGGUGCCACGACGCGUUCCCAUACGUGAAGUACAACGACCACUCAUGCACCACCGCCGGCAGCCGGCUCCAGAUCGUCUUCUGCCCAUGAUGAGCUAGCUAGCUAGCGGCAGAACGUAAACAUAUAACCUACAAUAUACUACAUGUAGUAGUACAUACUCAGACGUGUCAUGUAUUCUCAGCGGUACGUACGUACACGUAUGAACACACGUGCGAGUUUCCAAUAAAAUUGCCAUGUGUGAUGUGCCUUUGAUAUAUUGUUCUUUUUUAUCGAAUGCUUUUGAUAUAUUGUUCUUUUUUAUUGAAUGCCUUUGAUAUAUUGUUUACGGGAAUUUACACACAAAAGAACGUGAAUUUGAACAAGAUAGCCUACAAAUAUGUAUGUUUUUCCACACACACAAAAUAUAUGUAUGUUCUAACAUUGGGACUUAGCUUGAAUAUUUUUUUUCGAGGGGUGGGACUCAGGUUGAUGGUCAGGGUCUCAAAUGGCAUGGCCACGAUUUUUAGAGAGGUUGAGCCAGGAUAUGUUAUUGGGGCAUGAUACCAGCUUUUUUUCCAACCGGGCUCACAACCCCUUUCCAUUAAUUUUGCAAUCAACGGAAAUACAUCAGUCUGGUUUCAAGUUCUGUAUCGAGCAUCCACUUGCUAAAGAUAACUAGACUGAAAGAUAGAACUAACCGCAAGCAAAAUGAGACUGAAAGAGGAGAGCAGGUUGGUGCAUCAUCAGGAAACCCAUCGUCGGACAAUCCUGGAACGGACCAUCCGCCGUGGCGCGAAAACCUGAUGACACUUACAAGCAACUGCCCAACCAAAAUACCCAAGGUUCCGAGGAUGAAACUGCCAGUAAGCCUCUACGACUAGGCGAAGCACAACCAGGAAGCACAAUUGCCAGCGGGCAUCAAACCCCAGUGGACAACAGAACGCAAAAGGAAAGAUCCAAGCGCCAAUUUCAUCUAACCAAUCUGGAUCCCAUCUCUGUCUCCCAAGAGAAGUCGCCACGAGGGAAGGACCUGUCCGCCAGCGCAGCAGCCGCGUGAGCUAACCUCUUCACUCCAGCUUGGAACUUCACCUUCUCAUCCUCCUUAAGCAGACCUCACUAGUAGAAAAAGGGUCAAACGUGAAGCACAUUAGUGCCGGUUUGUAUUUGAGCCGGUACUAAUGGUACCAUUAGUGCCGGUUCGAACGGAUUUGCAUUAAUGCCGGUUCGUGUUGAACCUUUAAUACCGGUUCGUGGCACGAACCGGUACUAAAGGGGUGGUGGCAGGCUGGCGUCAGGCCGGGGCCCCACGAUCACCUUUAGUACCGGUUCGUGGCACGAACCGGUACUAAAGGGGUCUGACCUAUAGUACCGGUUGGAGACACAAACCGGCACUAUAGGGCAAUUUUCAAACUUGAAAAAAUCAUAACUAAAUCAUCGUAAUUCAGUAAAAUACAUAUAAUAUAUCAAAAUAUGCAGACUUUUAAGGAAGAAAUUAGGAAGGCUAUACAGGGAAAAUGCGUGAAGGUUCUCGCAGAGUGUGUUCCUUUAAUCUCACCAACCAGUUAGCUUAGGAUGUGCGAAUCAAUCUGUGGUUGGACGGUUAGAGGGACAGUAGUAUCCACAGCCCAUCAGGGUUUAAGUCCUGGUUCUCACAUUAUUCCUGGAUUUAUUUUAGGAUUUCUGGCGUUGUGCUUUCAGCGGGAGGAGACGUUCCUGUCGACAACGAGGCGCCUACGGUGACUUUGUAAAUGUCAAGAUGAUAUACUGGCUAGGUCUCUCGUAGGUGCUCAUAGGGGUAGGAAUGUGCAUGUGUGCAUUCAUAGGGGUGAGCGUAUGUGCGUAUGUUUGAGCACUUGCGUCUAUACUAUGCUAAAAAAUAGAUAGCUCGGAAUGUGUGUUAUGCUAUAUGUAUAUAACCUAGUUUCCGCUGUAAAGGGCCCGUGCGUUGCAAUGUGAAAACCCGCGAAAGUUGACCUCGGUACCAAUUGGCAGGAUCUCACAGACCUGCGAGGGCCCCACUUGCCACCCUUCCUUCCCACCGACACGGAUCCUGCAAGUAUACUCUUCAUCCACGUGUUGUGUGGCUCAAACAUGGACGAAAAUACACAGUAAUCGUGCAUGCUUGUCGUCCUGAAUGAAGAUACAUAAAUUUACAGAAUAUUUUUAAUACAGGUUGAAUUUUUUUGAAGUACACGUUGUCAAUUUUUUGAAUGCAUGACGAACAUAUUUCGAAAACACGUUUGCAGUUUUUUAAUACAUGUGAAACAUUUUUGGAAAACAUGUUUACAAUUUUAUAAUAUACAGGAGGUGCUCUUCGGUCUAGCUGAAGCCGAAGAGGUGCUCUUCGGUCUAACUUAGGCCGAAGACAGGUCUUCGGUGUACUGUAGACUGAAGAGCUCCGAAGCCGGGCUGAAAAGAACUCUUCGGUCUACGCUUGGCCGAUGAGUGCACUUCGGUUUAAGCCAAGCCGAAGUGUCCUCUGAGGCCCACCUCUUCCCGUGAACUGCAGACCGAAGUUGCAUGGCACCACACUUCGGUUUACACUUGGCUGAAGAGGACCUCUUCGGUUUAUACUAGGCUGAAGAGUGACCUUUUCCCGCCAAGCCUUUUCCGCCAUCUGUAAUGUAUCUUUCCCUCCAUUCGUUCACGCCAUUUUCUUUCCCUCCACUGUUUCCUUCCAUCCUCUUUCCCGCCCAAUUUUCCUGCCAACCCCUUACCCUCAUUCUAUAAAACCAGACCCCUUGCCUGUUGUUUUCUGCAUCUUUCCUUACCAAUAUUUUCAGUCAUGUCCGACGACAAUUCCGGCGGUUUUACUCCACUAAUGUCUCAUUUUCCCUUGUGCAAUGCCUCAAGAAUGCAUAGGCCUAGUAUGGGGUGUGUGUGGAGGAAAUAUACCCUAGAGGCAAUAAUAAAGUUAUUAUUUAUUUCCUUAUUUCAUGAUAAAUGUUUAUUAUUCAUGCUAGAAUUGUAUUAACCGGAAACAUAAUACAUGUGUGAAUACAUAGACAAACAAAGUGUCACUAGUAUGCCUCUACUUGACUAGCUCGUUGGUCAAAGAUGGUUAUGUUUCCUAACCAUAGACACGAGUUGUCAUUUGAUUAACGGGAUCACAUCAUUAGGAGAAUGAUGUGAUUGACUUGACCCAUUCCGUUAGCUUAGCACACGAUCGUUUAGUAUGUUGCUAUUGCUUUCUUCAUGACUUAUACAUGUUCCUAUGACUAUGAGAUUAUGCAACUCACAUUUACCAGAGGAACACUUUGUGUGCUACCAAACGUCACAACGUAACUGGGUGAUUAUAAAGGUGCUCUGCAAGUGUCUCUGAAGUUACUUGUUGGGUUGGCGUAUUUCGAGAUUAGGAUUUGUCACUUCGAUUGUCGGAGAGGUAUCUCUGGGUCCUCUUGGUAAUGCACAUCACUUAAGCCUUGCAAGCAAUGCAACUAAUGAGUUAGUUGCGGGAUGAUGUAUUACGGAACGAGUAAAGAGACUUGCCAGUAACGAGAUUGAACUAGGUAUUGAGAUACCGACGAUCGAAUCUCGGGCAAGUAACAUAUCGAUGACAAAGGGAACAACGUAUGUUAUGCAGUCUGAUCGAUAAAGAUCUUCGUAGAAUAUGUAGGAGCCAAUAUGAGCAUCCAGGUUCCGCUAUUGGUUAUUGACUGGAGACAUGUCUCGGUCAUGUCUACAUUGUUCUCGAACCCGUAGGGUCCGCACGCUUAAGUUUUCGAUGACAGUUAUAUUAUGAGUUUAUAAGUUUUGAUGUACCGAAGGAGUUCGGAGUCCCGGAUGAGAUCGAGGACAUGACGAGGAGUCUCGAAAUGGUCGAGACAUAAAGAUCGAUAUAUUGGACGACCAUAUUCGGACAUCGGAAAGGUUCCGAGUGAUUCGGGUAUUUUUCGGCCUACCGAAGAGUUACGGGAAUUCGUCGGGGAGUAUAUGGGCCUUAUUGGGCCAUACGGGAAUAGAGGAGAGAGGCCAAAAGGAAGGAGGCCCCCCCUCUGGUCCGAAUUGGACAAGGGGUGCAACAACAACAUACAACUAUCUAGAUAAUGCAUUUAAAUGCAACAAUAAAUGUGAUCAAAAUUGCAACUAAGGUAAUAAUUGAUCCAAUAGCAUAAUGAUACCAAGCCUAUUUAUUAGCGGCAUAUUUUCUAAACUUUCUAAUCUUCAAGCGCAUUGCAUCCAUCUUGAUCUUUGGAUCAUCGACGACAACAGCAACAUACAAAUCCAAUUUCAUCUUCUCUUCUCAAUUCUUUUUAAUUUUUCUUUCAAAUACUCAUUUUCUUUUUCUACUAAAUUUAACUUCUCGACAAGAGGGUCGGUGGCAAUUUCUGGUUCACAUACCUCCUAGAUAAAAAUAUAUAUGUCAGCUUGAUGGGCAUAAUUGUCAUAAACACGAAAUGCAACAAAUAGUUAUAAAAGAUAUUAUACCACAUCCGAAUCAUAAAUCGGACAAGGGCCGUCGGCGAAGGAUAUCAAAACCAUGGCACUACGUAUAACAAACAAUCAUACAAGUAAGAAAAUUAUACAAGCAACUAUCUAAAUCAUAGAAAUAAGAUUUCUUUGCACAAAAAGGAUAAGAACAAGAGCCUCACCAAGGAGGUGUCGGCGACGGGACGGCGCGGGCGACCGAUGGCGGUGAGGACGGGAAGGCAGUAGUUAAACCACACCUACACAUAUGGAAACUAAGAAGUUAAUUUGAGCUCAAAUUACAUAUAAAUCAAAUAAACUCCCACAUAAUUACUCCCAAACCAAAACCCACAAAUGACUAUACUUAUACAGCAUGAAACAAGCUAAACUAGCAAUGAGAGAGGAAAGGACAAAGUUACUAACCUUUUAAACACUUAGAUAGAUGGGGUGCCUCAAAUCUUAACAAAUCUUGGCAGUUAGAUGACACCACUACACUACACACGGUAGGAGUGAUCUUGAACGAAACACAAGGGAAAAAAGUCGGACCCGACAAAGGUCGUCCAGGUAGGUAGCCAUCUUUGAAUUGAAUGAGUGUUCUCCAAAGUAGCUAUCUCGGUGAGAUGAUCGACAUCUUCAUCACGAACCCUAUAUAAACGCCAAGCUCCAUGAGCUCAGUCCCAGCACACACACACCCAUAGUUCCACCUAAUAUAAUGGCCGGAAGCGCGAGCGCCACUCUGGUCCUCCUCGUCGUCGUGGUCGCGGCCCUCGCCGUGGGGGCCAGCGCGACAUCGACGCUGACGCCGCUCAGCAUCACCAACCGGUGCUCCUUCACGGUAUGGCCGGCGGUGGCCUCCGCAGGCCUCGGCACGGAGCUCCAUCCGGGAGCCAACUGGACCGUGGACGCGUCGGCGAUCCACUACACCGCGGACAUAUGGGGGCGCACGGGCUGCUCCUUCGACGCGGCAGGCAGGGGACGGUGCCAGACGGUGGACUGCGGCAGCGGGCUACGGUGCCGGAGCAACGACCCUGCGGCGCCGACGACCAAGGCCCAGGUCGCCAUCUCCGAGGGCUUCUACCACUACGGCAUCAUGUUGGACAAGGGGUUCAACCUGCCCAUGGAUCUCACGUGCAGCUCCGGCGACGCGCUCCGGUGCCGGGAGGACGGGUGCCACGACGCGUUCCCGUACGUGAAGUACAACGACCACUCAUGCACCGCCGCCGGCAGCCGGCUCCAAAUCAUCUUCUGCCCAUGAUGAGCUAGCUAGCGGCAGAAUGUAAACAUAUAACCUACACAUAUACUACGUGUAGUAGUACAUACUCAGACGUGUCAUGUAUUCUCAGCGGUACGUACGUACACGUAUGAACGCACGUGCGAGUUUCCAAUAAAAUUGCCAUGUGUGAUGUGCCUUUGAUAUAUUGUUCUUUUUUAUCGAAUGCCUUUGAUAUAUUGUUCUUUUUUAUUGAAUGCCUUUGAUAUAUUGUUUACGGGAAUUUACACACAAAAGAACGUGAAUUUGAACAAGAUAGCCUACAAAUAUGUAUGUUUUUCCACACACAAAAAAUAUAUGUAUGUUCUAACAUUGGGACUCAGCUUGAUUUUUUUUUCGAGGGGUGGGACUCAGGUUGAUGGUCAGGGUCUCAACUGGCAUGGCCACGAUUUUUAUAGAGAUUGAGCCAGGAUAUGUGAUUGGGGCAUGAUACCAGCUUUUUUUCCAACCGGGCUCACAACCCCUUUCCAUUAAUUUUGCAAUCAACGGAAAUACAUCAGUCUGGUUUCAAGUUCUAUAUCGAGCAUCCACUUGCUAAAGAUAACUAGACUGAAAGAUAGAACUGACCGCAAGCAAAAUGAGACUGAAAGAGGAGAGCAGGUUGGUGCAUCAUCAGGAAACCCAUCGUCGGACAAUCCUGGAACGGACCAUCCGUCGUGGCGCGAAAACCUGAUGACACUUACAAGCAACUGCCCAACCAAAAUACCCAAGGUUCCCAGGAUGAAAUUGCCAGUAAGCCUCUACGACUAGGCGAACCACAACCAGGAAGCACAAUUACCAGCGGGCAUCAAACCCCAGUGGACAACAGAACGCAAAAGGAAAGAUCCAAGCGCCGAUUUCAUCUAACCAAUCUGGAUCCCAUCUCUGUCUCCCAAGAGAAGUCUGCCACGAGGGAAGGACCUGUCCGCCAGCGCAGCAGCCGCGUGAGCUAACCUCUUCACUCCAUCUUGGAACUUCACCUUCUCAUCCUCCUUAAGCAGACCUCACUAGUAGAAAAAGGGUCAAACGUGAAGCACAUUAGUGCCGGUUUGUAUUUGAGCCGGUACUAAUGGUACCAUUAGUGCCGGUUCGAACGGAUUUGCAUUAAUGCCGGUUCGUGUUGAACCUUUAGUACCGGUUCGUGGCACGAACUGGUACUAAAGGGGUGGUGGCAGGCUGGCGUCAGGCCGGGGCCCCACGAUCACCUUCAGUACGGGUUCGUGGCACGAACCGGUACUAAAGGUCUAACCUUUAGUACCGGUUCGUGCCAUGAACCGGUACUAAAGGGGUCUGACCUAUAGUACCGGUUGGAGACACAAACCGGCACUAUAGGGCAAUUUUCAAACUUGAAAAAAUCAUAACUAAAUCAUCGUAAUUCAGAAAAAUACAUAUAAUAUAUCAAAAUAUGCAGACUUUUAAGAAAGAAAUUAGGAAGGCUAUACAGGGAAAAUGCGUGAAGGUUCUCGCAGAGUGUGUUCCUUUAAUCUCACCAACCAGUUAGCUUAGGAUGUGCGAAUCAACCUGUGGUUGGACGGUUAGAGGGACAAUAGUAUCCACAACCCAUCAUGGUUUAAGUCCUGGUGCUCACAUUAUUCCUGGAUUUAUUUUAGGAUUUCUGGCGUUGUGCUUUCAGCGGGAGGAGACGUUCCUGUCGACAACGAGGCGCCUACGGUAACUUUGUAAAUGUCAAGAUGAUAUACUGGCUAGGUCUCUCGUAGGUGCUCAUAGGGGUAGGAAUGUGCAUGUGUGCAUUCAUAGGGGUGAGCGUAUGUGCGUAUGUUUGAGCACUUGCGUCUAUACUAUGCUAAAAACAGAUAGCUCGGAAUGUGUGUUAUGCUAUAUGUAUAUAACCUAGUUUCCGCUGUAAAGGGCCCGUGCGUUGCAAUAUGAAAACCCGCGAAAGUUGACCUCGGUACCAAUUGGCAGGAUCUCACAGACCUGCGAGGGCCCCACUUGCCACCCUUCCUUCCCACCGACACGGAGCCUCCAAGUAUACUCUUCAUCCACGUGUUGUGUGGCUGAGACAUGGACAAAAAUACACAGUAAUCGUGCAUUCUUGUCGUCCUGAAUGAAGAUACAUAAAUUUACAGAAUAUUUUUAAUACAGGUUGAAUUUUUUUGAAGUACACGUUGUCAAUUUUUUGAAUGCAUGACGAACAUAUUUCGAAAACACGUUUGCAGUUUUUUAAUACAUGUGAAACAUUUUUGGAAAACAUGUUUACAAUUUUAUAAUAUACAGGAGGUGCUCUUCGGUCUAGCUGAAGCCGAAGAGGUGCUCUUCGAUCUAACUUAGGCCGAAGACAGGUCUUCGGUGUACUGUAGACUGAAGAGCUCCGAAGUCGGGCCAAAAAGAACUCUUCGGUCUACGCUUGGCUGAAGAAUGCACUUCGGUUUAAGCCAAGCCGAAGUGUCCUCUGAGGCCCACCUCUUCGCGUGAACUGCAGACCGAAGUUGCAUGGCAGCACACUUCGGUUUACACUUGGCUGAAGAGGACCUCUUUGGUUUAUACUAGGCUGAAGAGUGACCUUUUCCCGCCAAGCCUUUUCCGCCAUCUGUAAUGUAUCUUUCCCUCCAUUUGUUCACGCCAUUUUCUUUCCCUCCACUGUUUCCUUCCAUCCUCUUUCCUGCCCAGUUUUCCUGCCAACCCCUUACCGUCAUUCUAUAAAACCAGACCUCUUGCCUGUUGUUUUCUGAAUCUUUCCUUAGCAAUAUUUUCAGUCAUGUCCGACGACAAUUCCGGCGGUUUUACUCCACUAAUGUCUCAUUUGCCCUUGUGCAAUGCCUCAAGAAUGCAUAGGCCUAGUAUGGGGGGUGUGUGAAGGAAAUAUACCCUAGAGGCAAUAAUAAAGUUAUUAUUUAUUUCCUUAUUUCAUGAUUAAUAUUUAUUAUUCAUGCUAGAAUUGUAUUAACCGGAAACAUAAUACAUGUGUGAAUACAUAGACAAACAAAGUGUCACCAGUAUGCCUCUACUUGACUAGCUCGUUGGUCAAAGAUGGUUAUGUUUCCUAACCAUAGACACGAGUUGUCAUUUGAUUAACGGGAUCACAUCAUUAGGAGAAUGAUGUGAUUGACUUGACCCAUUCCGUUAGCUUAGCACACGAUCGUUUAGUAUGUUGCUAUUGCUUUCUUCAUGAAUUAUACAUGUUCCUAUGACUAUGAGAUUAUGCAACUCCCAUUUACUAGAGGAACACUUUGUGUUCUACCAAACGUCACAACGUAACUGGGUGAUUAUAAAGGUGCUCUACAAGUGUCUCUGAAGGUACUUGUUGGGUUGGCGUAUUUCGAGAUUAGGAUUUGUCACUUCGAUUGUCGGAGAGGUAUCUCUGGGUCCUCUUGAUAAUGCACAUCACUUAAGCCUUGCAAGCAAUGCAACUAAUGAGUUAGUUGCGGGAUGAUGUAUUACGGAACGAGUAAAGAGACUUGCCAGUAACGAGAUUGAACUAGGUAUUGAGAUACCGACGAUCGAAUCUCGGGCAAGUAACAUACCGAUGACAAAGGGAACAACGUAUGUUGUUAUGCUGUCUGACCGAUAAAGAUCUUCGUAGAAUAUGUAGGAGCCAAUAUGAGCAUCCAGGUUCCGCUAUUGGUUAUUGACUGGAGACGUGUCUCGGUCAUGUCUACAUUGUUCUCGAACCCGUAGGGUCCGCACGCUUAAGGUUUCGAUGACAGUUAUAUUAUGAGUUUAUAAGUUUUGAUGUACCGAAGGAGUUCGGAGUCCCGGAUGAGAUCGAGGACAUGACGAGGAGUCUCGAAAUGGUCGAGACAUAAAGAUCGAUAUAUUGGACAACCAUAUUCGGACAUCGUAAAGGUUCCGCGUGAUUCGGGUAUUUUUCGGACUACCGGAGAGUUACGGGAAUUCGCCGGGGACUAUAUGGGCCUUAUUGGGCCAUACGGGAAUAGAGGAGAGAGGCCAAAAGGAAGGAGGCCCCCCUCUGGUCUGAAUUGGACAAGGGGUGCAACAACAACAUACAACUAUCUAGAUAAAGCAUUUAAAUGCAACAACAAAUGCGAUCAAAAUUGCAACUAAGGUAAUAAUUGAUCCAAUAGCAUAAUGAUACCAAGCCUAUUUAUUUGCGGCAUAUUUUCUAAACUUUCUAAUCUUCAAGCGCAUUGCAUCCAUCUUGAUCUUUGGAUCAUCGACGACAACAGCAACAUACAAAUCCAAUUUCAUCUUCUCUUUUCAAUUCUUUUUAAUUUUUCAUUCAAAUACUCAUUUUCUUUUUCAACUAAAUUUAACUUCUCGACAAGAGGGUCGGUGGCAAUUUCUGAUUCACAUACCUCCUAAAUAAAAAUAUAUAUGUUAGCUUGAUGGGCAUAAUUGUCAUAAACACAAAAUGCAACAAAUAGUUAUAAAAGAUAUUAUACCACAUCCGAAUCAUAAAUCAGACAAGGGCCGUCGGCGAAGGAUAUCAAAACCAUGGCACUACGUAUAACAAACAAUCAUACAAGUAAGAAAAUUAUACAAGCUACUAUCUAAAUCAUAGAAAUAAGAUUUCUUUGCACAAAAAGGAUAAGAACAAGAGCCUCACCAAGGAGGUGUCGGCGACGGGACGGCGCGGGCGAUCGAUGAUGGUGAGGACGGGAAGGCAGUAGUUAAACCACACCUACACAUAUGGAAACUAAGAAGUUAAUUUGAGCUCAAAUUACAUAUAAAUCAAAUAAACUCCCACAUAAUUACUCCCAAACCAAAACCCACAAAUGACUAUACUUAUACAGCAAGAAACAAGCUAAACUAGCAAUGAGAGAGGAAAGGACAAAGUUACUAACCUUUUAAACACUUGGAUAGAUGGGGUGCCUCAAAUCUUAACAAAUCUUGGCAGUUAGAUGACACCACUACACUACACACGGUAGGAGUUAUCUUGAACGAAACACAAGGGAAAAAAGUCGGACCCGACAAAGGUCGUCCAGGUAGGUAGCCAUCUUUGAAUUGAAUGAGUGUUCUCCAAAGUAGCUAGCUCGGUGAGAUGAUCGACAUCUUCAUCACGAACCCUAUACAAACGCCAAGCUCCAUGAGCUCAGUCCCAGCACACACACACACCCACAGUUCCACCUAAUAUAAUGGCCGGAAGCGCGAGCGCCACUCCGGUCCUCCUCGUCGUCGUGCUCGCGACCCUCGUCGCGGGGGCCAGCACGACAUCGACGCUGACGCCGCUCAGCAUCACCAACCGGUGCUCCUUCACGGUGUGGCCGGCGGUGGCCUCCGCAGGCCUCGGCACCGAGCUCCAUCCGGGAGCCGACUGGACCGUGGACGCGUCGGUGAUCCACUACACCGCGGACAUAUGGGGGCGCACGGGGUGCUCCUUCGACGCGGCAGGCAGGGGGCGGUGCCAGACGGCGGACUGCGGCAGCGGGCUGCGGUGCCGGAGCACCGACCUUGCGGCACCGGCGACCAAGGCCCAGGUCGCCAUCUCCGAGGGCUUCUACCACUACGGCAUCACGUUGGACAAGGAGUUCAACCUGCCCAUGGAUCUCACGUGCAGCUCCGGCGACGCGCUCCGGUGCCGGGAGGACGGGCGCCACGAUGCGUUCCCGUACGUGAAGUACAACGACCACUCGUGCACCGCCGUCGGCAGCCGGCUCCAGACCGUCUUCUGCCCAUGAUGAGCUAGCUAGCGGCAGAAUGUAAACAUAUAACCUACACAUAUACUACGUGUAGUAGUACAUACUCAGACGUGUCAUGUAUUCUCAGCGGUACGUACGUACACAUAUGAACGCACGUGCGAGUUUCCAAUAAAAUUGCCAUGUGUGAUGUGCCUUUGAUAUAUUGUUCUUUUUUAUCGAAUGCUUUUGAUAUAUUGUUCUUUUUUAUUGAAUGCCUUUGAUAUAUUGUUUACGGGAAUUUACACACAAAAGAACGUGAAUUUGAACAAGAUAGCCUACAAAUAUGUAUGUUUUUCCACACACAAAAAAUAUAUGUAUGUUCUAACAUUGGGACUCAGCUUGAAUUUUUUUUCGAGGGGUGGGACUCAGGUUGAUGGUCAGGGUCUCAAAUGGCA
rnacentral:lncRNA from 1 species